UACGGAGGAUGCAAGCGUUGUCCGGAAUCAUUGGGCGUAAAGCGCGCGUAGGUGGCUUCGUAAGUCCGUUGUGAAAGUCAAAGGCUCAACCUUUGAAAGCCGAUGGAUACUGCGGAGCUAGAGUACGGAAGAGGCGAGUGGAAUUCCUGGUGUAGCGGUGGAAUGCGCAGAUAUCAGGAGGAACACCAAUAGCGAAGGCAGCUCGCUGGGACGUUACUGACACUGAGGCGCGAAAGCGUGGGGAGCGAACAGG
rnacentral:rRNA from 1 species